GCUCUUCCGUUUUUUUUUCUUCCUUAACUUUAGGAGCACCGUAGACGUUGGACUUUGUGACAGUUAAUCAACAAUUGUUCAUUACCACAACAGAAUUCCUAGCUGCCCAUUAACUCAAGACCUUUUAUAAUGCUGUAAUGUAAUUUCUUUGCAGGCAUUUGGCCAUCCAAAAGAUGGAGUAUGCCUAAAAUACACUCUUGUUACGCCGACUAUUGCACGGUAGAUGGCAGCAGUACAGCAGCGCAAUGCUCGUCGACUGUAACUCAAAAAGAAGAACCUGCAGCUCAACCAUGUUUUAAUCGAGAACAAUUGCAUUUGGCGCACUGCAUGGCUUUCCUAUAAAGAAACCUUCUGAUUGUAUGUUGGGUUGUCCCCCUAGUUAAGAGCACAAUCAGCCCAGAUUCAACGUUAGGGUUUGCACACUGAGGACCAUGAUGGAGAGAAAACGAGCCUUAACCAUUCCAUUUGCUCUUGAGAAGGACAAAUUAAUAGAGAAUCCACUCAGAAUCCCCACAUCAUACCUUGAGUGUGAACGAUUUGAACAACAGGUUUCCUGGACUGCAAUUGCCGGCCAUAAAUCCAGACGACGUGAUUCACGACACAAGAAUGGAGCAGUGCUGUUUGACCAUAACCAUGCUGCUAUGGUUAGGUUGGGCUUGGCAGUGAGGAAGCCCCGUCUGAUUCUGACAGAUGUCCUCAAGACUGACGCGGGCAAGGUUUACAUGGAGAAGAUAAAACGGCGCCCAAAUGGGAAGGAGAGGAGAAGUCGUGGCAAAGAUCCACCCAUAGUCGCCAGGGACAGGCGGUCCAGUCAAACAAAAAACACAAACUUACUACCGAGUGUACCACCUAGGAUCAAGCAGACUCCCAAAUUAUCACGAUCAAGUCCAAGAUCUUCAAAAAAGGCACAAAUUGAGAAGGAGGAGGAUGGACAAGGAGAUAAUGACGUGGUAUCUGGUGAAAAUGGGAACGUUGAACUUGUGGAUUGUGGAUUGUCUCUGAGUUGGGAACAAGAAGAUCUAAAUUUAUCUAAAUGUAAGGCCAAAGAAACAUCGAAAGAACCAAAAAAGACAAUACAGCAGAAAAGGAAAACAAAUGACUCAUUUUCAGAAUGUCCUGAAACAGACAGCCCCAAACGCCCCAGGGCGAGUGUUUUGCGCCUCUCUGGAGUUGCGAAUAUGGAUGGAGAACCCACCCUUUUUCCAGAGAAAGAAGCAGAUGACAAGGAUUCGAAAAACACAGAUAGUCCUAUUGUGCAGUUUACUGUGGGAGGAGCAAAUGCAGAAACCACAAUGCCCGUGCCAGAGGAUAAUGGUGCAACCACUGACACAGCUGAACCUAUUGUUCUUUCCAGUGAUGAAGAAGACGGUGGGGAAAAAAUUGAGAAUCUGAAACCUAUCUCACAG
rnacentral:lncRNA from 1 species